GAUGAACGCUAGCGGCAGGCUUAAUACAUGCAAGUCGAGGGGCAGCAUAAGUAGCAAUACUUGAUGGCGACCGGCAAACGGGUGCGGAACACGUACAGAACCUUCCUUCGAGCGGGAAUAGCCCGGAGAAACCCGGAUUAAUACCCCGUAAUAUUAUGAUGUGGCAUCACUUUAUAAUUAUAGAUUCAUCGCUUAAAGAUGGGCGUGCGCCUGAUUAGGUAGUUGGCGGGUAACGGCCACCAAGCCUGCGAUCAGUAACUGGUGUGAGAGCACGACCAGUCACACGGGCACUGAGACACGGGCCCGACUCCUACGGGAGGCAGCAGUAAGGAAUAUUGUCAAUGGACGCAAGUCUGAACCAGCCAUGCCGCGUGGAGGAUG
rnacentral:rRNA from 1 species